rnacentral:ncRNA from 1 species
GAUGGAACAAUGUAAGCAAGGUUAGUCGGCAAAUGGAUCUGUAACUUCGGGAAAAGGAUUAGCUCUGAGGGCUGGGAAUGAGGGUCCUAGUCUCAAACCCAUUGGUUGUCGGUGGAAUACGCACGCUGCUCCCAUGGCGAGAGCGGGUCGCCGCGUGCCAACCGGGGGAAAAACUGGGAACGGUUCCUUUGGGGGCCUUCCCCAGGCGUCGAACAACCAAUUCAGAACUGGUAAGGACAAGAAGAAUCUGACUGUUUAAUUAAAACAAAGCAUUGCGAUGGUCCCUGCAGAUGUUUACGUAAUGUGAUUUCUGCCUAGUACUCUGAAUGUCAAAGUGAAGAAAUUUAACCAAGCGCGGGUAAAUGGCGGGAGCAACUAUGACUCUCUUAAGGUAUCCAAAUGCCUUGUCAUCUAAUUAGUGACACACAUGAAUAGAUUAAUAAGAUUCUCACUAUCCCUGUCUACUAUCCAGCAUAACUACAGCCAAGGGAACGUGCUUGGUAGAAUCAGCGGGGAAAGAAGACCCUGUUGAGAUUGACUGUAAUCCGACUUUAUGAAAUGACUUGAGAGGUGUAGUAUAAGUGGGAGCCGAAAGACGAAAGUGAAAAACCAGUAUACCACUACUUCUAACGUUAUUUUACUUAUUAUGUGAAUCAGAAGUGGAGCACUGCCCCUCUUUUUGGACCCAAGGUUUACUUGCAGGCCGAUCUGGGUGGAAGACAUUGUUAGGUGGGGAGUUUGGUUGGGGCAGCACAUCUGUUAAAACAUAAUGCAGGUGUCCUAAGAUGAGCUCAACGGGAAUAGAAAUCUCGUGUGGAACAGAAGGGUAAAAACUCGUUUGAUUCUAAUUUUCAAUAUGAAUACGAACCAUGAAAACGUGGCCUAACGAUCCUUUAGACCUUCGGAAUUCGAAGCUAGAGGUGUCAGAAAAGUUAACAUAGGGAUAACUGGCUUAUGACAGCCAAGCGUUCAUAGCGACGUUGCUUUUUGAUCCUUCGAUUUCGGCUCUUCCUAUCAUUGUGAAGCAGAAUUCAUCAAGUAUUCGAUUGUUUACCCACCAAUAGGGAACGUGAGCUGGGUUUAGACCGUCAUGAGAUAGGUUAGUUUUACCCUACUGAUGACAGUGUCGCAAUAGUAAUUCAACCUAGUACGAGAGGAACUGUUGAUUUGCACAAUUGGUCAUCGCGCUUGGUUGAAAAGCUAGUGGUGCAAAGCUACCAUGCGCUAGAUUAUGACUGAACGCCUCUAAGUCAGAAUCCGGUCUAGAAGCGAUGCAUGCGCCCACCGUCCACUUACAGACACGCAGUAGGGGCCUUUGGCCCCCAAGGGAAAGUGUCGUUGGUUAAGUCAUCGCGGUGGAAUAGCCGCGGUGGCCGCCUUGAAGUACAAUUUCCAUCAAGCGGCGGGUAGAAUCCUUUCCAGAUAACUUAAAUACAUGACGAGGUAUUGUAAGUGGCAGAGUGGCCUUGCUGCCACGAUCCACUGAGAUUCAGCCCUUUGUUGCUCCGAUUC